AAGGGGAUCAGGGAGAGGAGGAGCAGGGAAACAGAAAAGGAGUGCUCACAGAAAAAUAAGGGGGGGACACACACACAACAAGGAUGAAGCUCAUCUUUGAUUCAGUUGAGGUCUGUAUUCACAAAGAGAUCACUCAGAAAUUUUGUACAAAUGGCAGGAGCAGAAUGUGAGCGCAAUGAGGGGCCUAAUGCAGGCACUUGUCCUGUAAUCAAAGAUUCAGCUCAACAUGAGUCCUUUGUGAGACAACAGCAUCAUUCUCCACCCGGGCUAACCCCUGAAUGCAGAGCAGCUCUCUCAAGCAAGGCAGGCAGGAUGAGCUUCGCAUUUCUUUGUCCUCUUUGGAAAAUAUGAUCUUUUUUUUUCCUAUUCCUCAUUUGCCUCUCUUCUAAAGAAAACAUUUUUUGAUAUGCCUGUAGUGAGCCAGAGGAUGUUUGCGUGAGUGGAAGCGCUCUCAGGGUGAGGAGAGAAGCAGAUGGGCUGACAUGGUGGAGCGAGGGCAGCUCCAGCCUGCGUUUGGGGAGAGUGUGCAGAAAAAUGGCUGACAUCUCCCUGCUGGCGAAUGCAUGAUGGGCGUCCUCCUCUGCAAUUUGGCUCUUGAAAAUGGGAAACAAGAUGUAGAAAUGCCUCACAGAAGGUUGGCAAAGUUCCAGAAUAACAGCUGGAAGUGAGAAGGAAUGAAAAAGUAUAUCACAGAAAUUCAAAUGAGAAAUACGAUAUACAUUUUUAAUGGGUAUGGUUAUCAUUCAUUUGAACAAAUUAUAAAUGAGGGAUUGUUUUUUAGAUUGCCAGAUGUCUUCAGCUCAGCGCUGGAUGCCUUUCCAAUAGACAAAUACAAGCGAUUAACUUCACAGAAUGUCUGUGAGUUGAAAUUCAGACAAAGAUAAAAUGAUACAUUCUGGCCUUCAGAACUCAAAGCAUUGGAGAUGGGGACCCUGGACAUAAGCUUGUUUGCAGUACAUGUGAAAAAGGCUCUCAUAACUGGAAUUAGAUGAGAAGAAUUAUGCCAGGAUGCCUCUGGCCACCCUCAAAGCAUCCUUGUAAAUUCAGUCACAAGCAUAAGCAGCUUCAUUCUGUCCAAAGAAUUAGCAUUUUUUUAAGUGCUCAUUUUCCAAGUAUUCUUACUAAUACUUUAAUGGCUGUUGUAUACCCCAGUGCUGUGGAGCUGACUGAUGUGUCUUGCUGUGUUUCAGCGAAUGUUGUGAGGAAUCUACAGCAAUUAGCUGCUCAUGCCUCUGCUUUCCUGUUUUGUGCCUUCCCUUUCAUGUAUCAGAUGUUUGUAAGUUUUCCAUUAGACAUUUCCUGCUUCUAAUAGAUGUUUGUGAGGCUUUUGCUUUGAGCUAUCAGGGUUCCAAUUUGUGCUGAGAUGUUUGGUUUUGUUUUAGGGCUGAGAGGUCUUUGUACUCCUUUCUUCCUAGAAAACAUUAUAAUCUGGAAAAAAUAAAUAAAUUGUACUUUGCAAAAAGUGAA